GUGCUCGCUUCGGCAGCACAUAUACUAAAAUUGGAAUGCUACAGAGAAGAUUAGAACAGCCCCUGUGCAAGGAUAACGUACAAAUUCAUGAAAUGUUCCAUAUUUUU